rnacentral:lncRNA from 1 species
CGUUUUCUGGAAAGUCCUAGUUCACUUAAGCCAGCAUGUCCAAUGAUUGGGGUUUAUUUAGGUGGAACUCACUUCCCUGUCCCUGGAUUUUCAUUGUUGAUUGUUGUGGUUUUGUUUUUCACACAUUGGGGAUUUCCUUCCUGACUCUUCCUUCUUGGCCCCAAUCCACUGCUGAUUAAAUCUCUGUGUGGAUCCUCCACCAGGCCCUGCAUCAGCUGCUCUGUCGUGAGACCCACCUGAGUGCUCAGGUCUGAACCUCAGGGAUCUAGUGGAGUAGAAGGAGUGCUGAUUCUAGAACUAACAAGUGGGCUUCAAGUGAAAGUUCUGCUGCUUCGUCACUCUCAGAAACUAUUUCUUCAGGAGAAAAUGAGACUUACAAUAUCACAUAUAUGAAGCUGCCAUGAAUUGAUGUAUAUAAAUAAACAAGAAAACCAUAUUAAACCACAGUGCAUGGUCAUAACAAUGGCGAAGAGGAAGAAAAAGGAGAAGAGUGAUGAGGAGAAUAAGCACAAGACGACUUUCUCUUCCGGGUGAGAGGGAAGCAACCUUAGGUAGACUGUUUGAGAAGAAUCAGUGGCUUUUCUUUACUGAGCAGAAGUCAUUGAGCAAGUAUUUACUGACCACUACUACAUGUUAAUGUGGAUUCAAAAACAAGGAGCUUCCAAGCCACCAGGGACCACUGAUUUCCAGAAGCCCCUGGUCCUCCUGAGAGAAUGAGGAGCAAAUCCAAGCACUGGGCAGACCCUGCAAGAGUGCCGCGCCUUCACCCUUCUCUGCAUAUCCUGGGCUCAGGGACCCGGGGGGAGUUGGCAGUGGCUAACAAGUUCCGUUCCAUCUGCUGCUUCUGGCAGAGUGGACCUGGAACCUGGGGCCCUUCUCUAGGUCUCCCCGAGCCAAACUAUCAAAUGAAUGACAGCUAAGAUUCUAUCGAUUUCCCACCGUCUGGUUCUUUUCUUUCCCUGUGACAUUUUUACACUCUGCAUUUUAGUUUGGGUUUGCAGAAUUUCACAAGAUUCUUGUUCGAUUUCCUUCCUCAAAGCACUUUAUUGUGAUUGUAACAUUAAAAACAGAGAAACAAACCACGUCCAUGAGUUUUUUUAAGACAGGCCUGAAAGCCUUGGAGCCUGCUGUGUCACACUACACGCUGUUUCAUCUUCUACUCUCCUCACUCUGAUUCUUCUAAGGCCAAACUUUCUCACUGCUGCUGCCAACCCUGCGUUAGUGAGACUCAAUGAGAUGGUUUUUCCUCUGCCCCCCACGCCUAUACAGUGUAAAGGGGCCAUCCUGGAUGGUGUCCAGCUAGGAAAGCCCAGCCUCUGCUCUCUAUUGCUGUCAGAAGAUUCUAGAAUCACAGGGGCUUGGGUUCGAGUCUUGAUUAUACCUUACCAGCCAUGUGACUUUUUGUGACAACUUCUCUGAGUCCAGCCAGCUUCUUUAUUUAUUAAAAAAUGUAUCUCUCUCAUAGGGAUUUUUUGAAAAGUAAAUGAGAUAAAUAUGGAAUGCCUGGCACAUAUUACACUCUUAAUAAACUUUUGUCCUCCUCAAACUGUCUCUCACUAUGGAGGUGAUUUUGCCUUGGCCAGCAGGCUGGAGGCCUUCUGGGGAAGCAUUGAAAGCAAG